UGCAGUAUAGAGUAGUGGUUAACUCGCGAGGUUCAUGCCCUCGAGACGUGGUUCGAAUCCAAUUACUGCAC
rnacentral:tRNA from 1 species